CACAGUCACAAAAACAGAAUGAUCACAGUGAGGGAAAAAUACAAAAUGCAGCAUUUUCAUGCCUAGGGAAAGAAAGAGAAAACACAGGCUGACCAUACAUAGCAGGAGCUGGUACUUGCUUCUCCCUUAAGUAUGAGCCAUUAAUUUACAGCCAUGUGCAAAUGCCUAUGUGCACACGUAUGCACCUCUCCACAUGCACAGAAAAUAUGUGCCUCACGUCUGGAACAUUAUUAGUGAAUUUAGAAUGGGAGAAAGAUGGCAGGUUAUGGUUUCGGGUGGAAAGAUCUGGAGGCACACACACAAAAAAUGAGCAUCUACCCUUCUUCCUUGAGCAACUGCUGGGUUGAAAGGUACUUCCAGACUCGCUUCACCUAGUCAAUGGUCCUUCCUCUGUUCCCAGAGUGCAGAUGCGUGCUUGCAACAACAUAGGUGCUUGAUAACUAUGCAUGGAAUAUAAAAUCUGAAUCAGCAAAUUAGGGAAGUAUGAGAAGUUGUAGAAGAGAAGGCUGAGUUGAGGUGAUACUGAAUGGAUUCAACAGUUUCUUUACCAAACAUCUGUCGGACCUCCAUUAUGUGCCAGGCACAGUUCUAAGUUUUAGCUCAGCUAAGACAGACACAAAGCCUUGAGCUCAUGAGACUUGCAUCGGAGUGAGAGUCCCAGCAGCUGCCAUAUGUUGAGUUCUUGCUAUCUGCCGGCACAGUGGAGAACACCUGUGAUGUGAAUCCUACAGAGCGUUGUAGAAGGCAGGUGCUAUCAUCAACUUUACUUCUUCCCAGGUGUGGAAACAACUUCAGAGCAAGUUCACCUCAUGGAGUUUUGCUGCUGUUACCUAGGCUGGAGUGCAAUGGCACAAUCUCGGCUCACCGCAAUCUCCGCUUCCUGGGUUCAAGCAAUUCUCCUGCCUCAGCCUCCCGAGUAGCGGAUUACAGGCAUGCGCCACCAUGCCCAGCUAAGGUACAUAUCUGGGUACUAGAGAUGCAACAGAGAACAAAAUCAGCAAGACUUCCUGAUCUCCUGGAGCUUGUAAUCUAA
rnacentral:lncRNA from 13 species